UAAAUAAACAAUACCCACUACCCAGAGCCUCACAACUCUCACUUAUUUUGCAAUUUUGUUUUCUUUUUUUCUUUUGUUGGAUUGGGAAGUUUUAGUGCACUGCGCAACAGGGUUUCGUGCUGACCCGGAGAAUUGCUUGGGCCAUUGGUGCUCUGAAAGGUAAAGACUCAAAACAAAUCAACGCCUCCUGUUCUUUGUCGCGGUGGAGGGCGAUGGUCCAGCAGUGGAUUGUUUUCCGACUGGAAGGGCCACAAAGAAAACAUAAGACUCCACAGGAUGAUCGUGCAAGAGAGGGUUUGAUGUGAAAGAGAAGCAAUCAGAGAGGGUAAGGAAUGUUAUAGCUCAGAGGGCUCAAGCAUGUGUUUAGUCAGAAGGAGAAGUUUAUGCAGAAUUGGUGAAUUGGGUUUGAUCAAAACUUACAAUGUAAAGCAAGGGUCAACACAUUCUUUGGUUGCCCUGUUGAUGAACACGAUAACUUUUAGUUCGGGAUUAUUUUUUUUAAAUCAAGGGUUGUGGGUAAGUGGAUAUGCAUUGAAGUGGAAUACAUAAAAUGUGUACAAUAUGGAAGCUGAUAGCAGUUUUAGAUGGUAUUGUUGUGUCGCGUUUUGUUAAUAACAGGAUGGGAACUGCACUGCAUUAGGCUCUACUGCAGACUACAUCCAUGUAGUAAACUUGUUGACGGAGUUCUAUUUUUUUCCAAAGCUACUUUUUCUUAAA